UACGAAGGGGGCUAGCGUUGUUCGGAAUCACUGGGCGUAAAGCGCACGUAGGCGGAUUGUUAAGUCGGGGGUGAAAUCCUGUGGCUCAACCUCAGAACUGCCUCCGAUACUGGCAAUCUCGAGUUCGGAAGAGGUUGGUGGAACAGCUAGUGUAGAGGUGAAAUUCGUAGAUAUUAGCUAGAACACCAGUGGCGAAGGCGGCCAACUGGUCCGACACUGACGCUGAGGUGCGAAAGCGUGGGGAGCAAACAGG
rnacentral:rRNA from 1 species